rnacentral:misc_RNA from 1 species
GAUGAAGAACGCAGCGAAAUGCGAUAAGUAGUGUGAAUUGCAGAAUUCAGUGAAUCAUCGAAUCUUUGAACGCACAUUGCGCCCCUUGGUAUUCCAUGGGGCAUGCCUGUUCGAGCGUCAUCUACACCCUCAAGCUCUGCUUGGUGUUGGGCGUCUGCCCCGCCCCCGCGCGUGGACUCGCCCCAAAUCCAUUGGCAGCGUUCCUUGCCCCCUCUCGCGCAGCACAUUGCGCUUCUCGAGGGCGGCUCCGGGACGCGAUCCAGCAAGAUGACCACCGUCUUUGACCUCGGAUCAGGUAGGGAUACCCGCUGAACUUAAGCAUAUCAAUAAGCGGAGGA